GUAUGGUAACUGGACACAGGCUGUUACUAUGUUUUGUCUCAUUUCCAUUAAACAUAUGAAUAUUUCAUCCUUAAAACAAAUAAACUAGUAACUGUAUUCUGAUUCUUCUCAUUUCUGAUUAGGGUUGUUUGAGGUUCUUUGCAUAUAAACAGAUUUUACCAUAAUAACUAGACCAUAUUUAGAAAAGCAGAAAAGUUAAAUAGGAUGUCAAUGUGUACAUGUAAGGAAAAAACCUCCUGCCUGAAAUAGAAUAAACUAAGAUGGGAAAGGGGUCCAGAGUAAAGAGAGGAAAGGAAGGAAGGCUGGAACAUAACAUUCCUAUGAAGAAGGAAGAAAGUGGUAGAUGGAGACAUCAAGUCUAGUCAUCCUCUGUCCUUGCCACCAUGUUGGUGCAAACACCUUGAUGGCUAAGACCCAAGGAGGAACCACAAUUGAUAUCUAAAGUACAGGUGGAUAAGUACUUAGUAAAUAUUUGUUCAUCAUGCUCAGCUUUCUCAGAAAAUACUUAUGGAGUCUCCACAUUUUCAAAAAAUUGUUAAUAAAUGAGAUAUUCUUUUCAAAGAAAAGUUUUUUUUUUUUUUUUUGAAAAAAACACUGACAAGAUGCCUGGGAACUUUACAACAACUUACUAGAAACAAAAAAUAAAUGAAGGCAUAUCAAAAAAAUCAGAACUUCAAAAAUACAAAUAGUAGCUAAUAAACUUUUACAUGGGCAACUAAUAAAGUAAAAAAAAAAAGAUCUUUAAAAGGUAGAAAGACAUAUUUUGAGAUAAGAAAAUUGUGACCACAAAAGAAAAACACGGAAGUCUAUGAAGCAGAGCAUGAGAGGUUCAAAUCAGAAGUUAGAUAAAUCAAAAAAAAAAAAAAAUUCACGCUCUUGCAAGAGUCUUUAAACCAAUAAUAAAAAGUUCUUUAAAUAAAUCAAAAACAGGAAGUCAGAUAGAUUAUAGCUGGUCCACUUUAUCUUGGUAAAAAUAAAUGCACUCAUGGGUGAAAGUAUACUGAGAAAGGUAAUAAUAAAAUCACAAUUUUUACAGAGUUUUACAUUUUUCAGGGAUCAUUUAUACACAAUUUGACUCUUGCAGCAACUCUAUAAGAGGAACAAUGGUCUUAAAAUCCUCUUUUAAAGGUGAAAAAAGAUGUUCAGCUAGAUGAGUGAUUAAUUCUAGACGAAUUAACUAAUAAAAGAAGAGCUUACACCAAAACCCAUAUUUUUCUACUCCUUAAAAGUGGGAUUUCCUUUCCCCACCAAUUUCAAAUCGUCUCUCUCAUAAUUUGCCUUAGAGAUGUGUCUGGGGUGGGGAGGAAAGUGCUGAAAAGAAUUACCAGGCUCUAGACAGAAAUUUAAAAAGAGUUUACCAGAAAGAAAAUCAAAGCAGGAAUUGUGGACCUUUCAGAUCAAAUGUGUAACCCAGUAUGUAUCAUGAACAACGGAGCUGAACAGCGAUUAUAUACUGAGGGACACACUCAUAUGUUUUCUACAUAGGAUGUAAAAACCUGGAAACAGCAUAAUUUCCAGCCUUAUAACAAAAAAAAGGCCAUUAAUCUACAAAAUUGCCAAUUUUCUUGAACCCAUCAGAGAACUCAUCUCCAUACAGACACCUCCAAGGAGAAACAGGAUGUGGACACCUGAUAACCUGAAGCAGAUGCCAGAUGGAAUACAAGCUGAAAGGAUGACAUAGAAAGCUGACAAAGAAAGGAUGAUGGUCAAGAAGAGGGAUCAACAGGAUAAGUAAGUACGAACAGGGUGAUUUUUCGAGGAAAAGGAUAUUAACACUGCAUCUAUAAUUACAUGG